ACAUGAGGACCAACACCCUGCUGCUCAUAACAGCGCGAGUGUCUGUAAGGGUGAAGGUGUUCACCACUCUACAAAAAGAAAAGAUUCAAACCGACAGAGAGGAGACUCUGAAAGCAAAAGGAUUUCAGCUAUCCUCAAGCCUCCUGCCUUUUGUCGAAGAAAAAACAAAGCAGCAUGGGAAAAGGUAUGGGCGAAGAGUGGGAUGAGAAGCCAAGGGAAACUCAGCCUCGGAAACACGAAGAGACGGAGAGAAGAAGCUCGGGGAGCAAAUGUCCCAAGUGCUGCUUGAAGACCAGGGACUGUCUGAUGAGCCCAGAGUGCAGCAGGGCACUUCAGAUCUCCAGCGUUGUCGCCAUGUGUGGAAUGUGCCUCCGCUUUUUCGUAUAACCCAACCGUGGACAUCAAGACCAGCUUAUUCAUGUCGUGUUCUCAGCAUCUUGCAGCACCUUUCAUGACACCAGUGCCAUUUGAUUUUCUUCUGAUCUAAGAUGGAGAAUAAGCACUUUAAAGCUACAGUGGGUAACUUUGAGGAAAAUAACUUUUUGUCAUGUUUGCUGAAACUGUCACUAUAUUCUUAAAUAAGUACAUGAGACAAAUAAUCUCUGAAAAUAAUAUGUCCCUCCUCCACUUCCUGCUUCUGAUUACAUUUGCUAGAAUUUACCGAAAACAACCAAUCAGAGCUGAGGACUAAUUGUUUAAAUUGUCAAACGUGGCAGAGCUGAUCAAGUAUGAAUCAAAAUUCUGUUGCUGCAUUGCCUUUUGCUUGACUCAAAUGUUUUCAGAGACAUAUUUUAGUGUACUGUUUAGCUGUAAAAUGAGAAAGUUUAUUCCGGCUGGUGUUUUGUUUCAGCUCAACUGUUUCCAACAUGGCGGCCAAGUCACAAAGUUUCUCAUUUACAUUUGAGGCAAGAAAUAGGUAAUAGAGUAACAGAAUCUUGAUUCACAUCUGAUCAGUGCUGCCUAAUUUGACUCGAGCAGUGAUAGACCGCUACAUUACAGAUCUGGUUCAAACCCCCAGUUGCGGUUGCCAAAGAUUAACUGGGGGUCAUGAGGCCUUCGUGAUUUUAAGGGUAUGUUCAAGGGUGUCAUUUUUGUGAAGAAAACUUCAUGAAAUUGUUAUUUUUGAAGUUUAGAUUAUUAUUCAGGACAUAAAUUUACAAAACAUCUCACAGGACAAGGGCACGGUGACGACCUCAACACAGGCUGUAUUCACAGAGCCUGCACUCUCUGUUUAACAGCCUCGUCCUGCAUAAGAUGAGUACGCAGUUUAACAAACAAAGAGCUAAUGGAACAAUGGCCAUGCAUCAGAGAGGAGAAACCCUUGAAUAUAUUAAAAAAAAAGGAAAAAAAAAAAAAAGAAGAAGCCUAAAAAAAGUCAUCUCAAAUCUCAAAACUCACACACAACACAAAGGACCCUGAAGGAAAAGGUUGGGAGCUAACCUUAAUGCCAUUAUAUGCACUAUAAGGCAAUAAAGUAGGCAGUGGAAUAUGACAUUUUUACAGAUUAUCUGUCUCAUUCAGUGAUGUGUGAAUAAAGUGACAGUUUCAGCAAAUAUGAUAAAAACUUAGCUACCAACUAAAGCUUUAAGUCCACUUUAUCUGCUAAAGUCCUGUUUAAUUCUCAAGCUAUUUAUUUAACAUUCUCUCUGUAUAUAGAACAAACUAAAAGAUAAUCAUUGUGAAUUAAGGAAUGGAUGGAUGUGAUUAAAAUGCUACAGUAUUAAGAAAA